GAAGAAACUCAGAGAUCUUCGUUGGUUCAGUCUCAAUCUUUUUUCUUAGAUGUCUGCAAUGGCAGUGAAGAGGUGAAAAAUGAUGUUACAUGUUUUCAUUGUGGGAAGCCUGGACAUUUUAAGGCAAAUUGUUAUAAGCUAAUUGGCUUUCCUCCGGAUUUCAAGUUCACUAAGUCUAAAGGGAAUGCUGGUGGUUCAUCUAGUUCUAAGCCUACUUCAGCUUAUCAAGUCUCUACCACUAAGGCUAUUGCAGAAAGUGUAGCUGAUGGUCUGUCUCAAGUUACUCUCUCUAAGGAGCAAGUUCACUAACUUAUGAC
rnacentral:misc_RNA from 1 species